CUGCGAGUGAAGCGGCAAAAGCUCAAAUUUGAAAUCUGGCGUCUUUGACGUCCGAAUUGUAAUUUGGAGGGGCAUCUUCGGAGUUGGCGCCGUCCUAAGUUCCUUGGAACAGGACGUCAUAGAGGGUGAGAAUCCCGUGCCUGGAUGGCUGUCCAUCUCCAUGUGAAGUGUCUCCGACGAGUCGAGUUGUUUGGGAAUGCAGCUCAAAAUGGGUGGUAAAUUUCAUCUAAAGCUAAAUAUUGGCGAGAGACCGAUAGCGCACAAGUAGAGUGAUCGAAAGAUGAAAAGCACUUUGAAAAGAGAGUUAAAAAGUACGUGAAAUUGUUGAAAGGGAAGCGCUUGAGACCAGACUCAACUUAAGGUAAUCAUCUGUGCUUCUGUGCAGUGCCAUUGCUUUUUGUUGGACCAGCAUCGGUUUUGACGGUGGGAUAAAAGGCGGAGGAAUGUGGCUCUCUUCGGGGAGUGUUAUAGCCUCUGUCACAAUGCCACCAGUUGGGACCGAGGACCGCGCUUCGGCUAGGAUGCUGGCGUAAUGGUCUUAAGCGACCCGUCUUGAAACACGGACCAAGGAGUCUAACAUCUAUGCGAGUGUUCGGGUGGAAAACCCUUGCGCGUAAUGAAAGUGAACGGAGGUGGGAACCCCUCGGGGUGCACCAUCGACCGAUCCUGAUGUCUUCGGAAGGAUUUGAGUAAGAGCAUAGCUGUUGGGACCCGAAAGAUGGUGAACUAUGCCUGAAUAGGGUGAAGCCAGAGGAAACUCUGGUGGAGGCUCGCAGCGGUUCUGACGUGCAAAUCGAUCGUCAAAUUUGGGUAUAGGGGCGAAAGACUAAUCGAACCAUCUAGUAGCUGGUUCCUGCC
rnacentral:rRNA from 1 species